AUACAAGCAGUCUCAACUGUGCGUACUUGCAACGUCUUCAAUGCUCAGUUUUAGGGUUUUGGUAAUAAGUGUUGUUCGAAAGGUGGUUAAAGCUAGUCCUUGUAUAUUUUCAUCAUUUUCAACAUAUAAAUGAGUGCCACAACAUCCUUGAAUUCAGAGUACAACAAGAUGGAGUUUAGACUGAAAACCUCCAAUGUAUAGGAAUUUCAUUUUAUUAAAUGUAAGGAAUAAUAGCUGUUGAGUAAAAGAUGCUGAGAACGACAAGUUACAGCCAUGGAUGGAUUGUAUUUCUUCUUAUUUAAAUAAACAGCAAGAAAGCUCAUUGAAUUUCAGAAUCAACAU
rnacentral:lncRNA from 1 species